CUACGGGCUGCUGCAGUGAGGAAUAUUGGUCAAUGGGGGAAACCCUGAACCAGCGACGCCGCGUGUGGGAUGACGGAGCUUCGCUCUGUAAACCACUGUCAGGAGGGAAGAAAACCCCGCUUAGCGGGAUGGGACUGUACCUCCAGAGGAAGGAUCGGCUAACUACGUGCCAGCAGCCGCGGUAAUACGUAGGAUCCAAGCGUUGUCCGGAAUUACUGGGUGUAAAGGGUGCGCAGGCGGACUUGUGCGUCAGAGGUUAAAUGUCACCGCUCAACGGUGAACCUGCCUUUGAUACGGCGAGUCUUGAGUACGAGAGAGGUAGGCAGAAUUCCUGGUGUAGCGGUGAAAUGCGUAGAUAUCAGGAGGAAUACCAGUGGCGAAGGCGGCCUACUGGCUCGUAACUGACGCUCAUGCACGAAAGCGUGGGUAGCGAACAGGAUUAGAUACCCGCGUAGUC
rnacentral:rRNA from 1 species